GUACACUCCGCGGGAGGCAGCAGUGGGGAAUAUUGCACAAUGGGCGCAAGCCUGAUGCAGCCAUGCCGCGUGUAUGAAGAAGGCCUUCGGGUUGUAAAGUACUUUCAGCGGGGAGGAAGGCGAUAAGGUUAAUAACCUUGUCGAUUGACGUUACCCGCAGAAGAAGCACCGGCUAACUCCGUGCCAGCAGCCGCGGUAAUACGGAGGGUGCAAGCGUUAAUCGGAAUUACUGGGCGUAAAGCGCACGCAGGCGGUCUGUCAAGUCGGAUGUGAAAUCCCCGGGCUCAACCUGGGAACUGCAUUCGAAACUGGCAGGCUAGAGUCUUGUAGAGGGGGGUAGAAUUCCAGGUGUAGCGGUGAAAUGCGUAGAGAUCUGGAGGAAUACCGGUGGCGAAGGCGGCCCCCUGGACAAAGACUGACGCUCAGGUGCGAAAGCGUGGGGAGCAAACAGGAUUAGAAACCCCAGUAGUCCCAUGA
rnacentral:rRNA from 1 species